rnacentral:lncRNA from 1 species
GAGCCUGCUGGGAUCUUUGCAGUUUGCAGGUCAUAGAAUCAGACAUGAAAAGGCUUCUCUUCCGACGUCAUUGGUUCCUGGCUCCUUUACAGAUGAGAACACAGGUCCAGAGGCAUAAAGAGAAACAAAAGACAAUGAUGGUAUUCUCUGUGUCCUCAGCUUUGGCACUUUUGUUGAUGUUGCUAAGGAGCAGUGACCUUGCUAAAAAGACUGAAUAAUCCACCCACUGAAUAGCUAACCUGGGGAGGAAAUGAAAAUUUCCUUUGUGGAUCUCCCCAAAUCCAUUGUUGUCACCAGGCCCUCCCAGAACCUCCUCAGUUCCUUCACAGUGCAACCCUGUGUACUUGGCCCGCAACCCAAUAGUAUUGUGCCUCACUUCACCUUCCAUGGGCAACUGCCCUCCCUUCUGGACAUAAAACCUCAUAUUUUAAAUAAAGUUGAAAUAUGAAAAGAAAGUA